AGUCGGGAACGGGUGAGUAACACGUGGUUAACUGCCUGGAUGUGGGGGAUACCCCGGGGAGACCGGGGCUAAUACCGCAUGAUGUCUCCGUCGGCAAAGCUGCGCAUCCGGAUGGGACCGCGGCCGAUUAGCUAGUUGGCGGGGUAAUGGCCCACCAAGGCGUCGAUCGGUAGCCGGCCGGAGAGGGUGAUCGGCCACACCGGAACUGAGACACGGUCCGGACUCCUACGGGAGGCAGCAGUGGGGAAUUUUGCGCAAUGGGCGAAAGCCUGACGCAGCAACGCCGCGUGGAGGAUGAAGGUUCUCGAAUCGUAAACUCCUGUCGGUCGGGAAGAAUGACUGUACCGGCAAAGGAAGCCCCGGCUAACUCCGUGCCAGCAGCCGCGGUAAUACGGAGGGGGCAAGCGUUACUCGGAAUUAUUGGGCGUAAAGGGCGCGUAGGCGGUCGUGCGCGUCGGAGGUGAAAUCCCCGGGCUUAACCCGGGAGCUGUCUCCGAUAC
rnacentral:rRNA from 1 species